UACGGUGGUGGCAAGCGUUACUCGGAAUCACUGGGCGUAAAGGGCGCGUAGGCGGCCUAGCAAGUCUGGUGUGAAAGCCCAGGGCUCAACCCUGGAAGGGCACUGGAAACUGUUAGGCUUGAGUUCCGGAGAGGAGGGGGGAAUUCACGGUGUAGCGGUGAAAUGCGUAGAUAUCGGGAGGAAUACCGGUGGCGAAGGCGCCCCUCUGGACGGAAACUGACGCUGAGGCGCGAAAGCGUGGGGAGCAAACAGG
rnacentral:rRNA from 1 species